rnacentral:rRNA from 1 species
GUGAGGAAUUUUGCGCAAUGGGCGAAAGCCUGACGCAGCGACGCCGCGUGGAGGACGAAGGUCUUCGGAUCGUAAACUCCUGUCAAGCGGGACGAAUCCCGGGCGGAUGAAUAAGCCGCCCGGUUGACGGUACCGCUGGAGGAAGCCCCGGCUAACUCCGUGCCAGCAGCCGCGGUAAUACGGAGGGGGCCAGCGUUGUUCGGAAUCAUUGGGCGUAAAGGGCGCGUAGGCUGCCGUGCAAGUCGGAGGUGAAAGCCCUCGGCUCAACUGAGGAACUGCCUUUGAUACUGCACGGCUUGAGUCCCGGAGAGGGUAGCGGAAUUCCCAGUGUAGCGGUGAAAUGCGUAGAUAUUGGGAGGAACAUCGGUGGCGAAGGCGGCUACCUGGACGGCGACUGACGCUGAGGCGCGAAAGCGUGGGGAGCAAACAGGAUUAGAAACCCGUGUAGUCC